rnacentral:rRNA from 1 species
AUUGAACGCUAGCGGCAGGCCUAACACAUGCAAGUCGAACGAGAGGCGGCCGGGUGAGUAAUGUCUGGGAAACUGCACGAGGGAGGGGGAUAACUCCUGGACACGGUAGCUAAUACAGCAUACGAUCACAUGAGGCCAGAUGGGAUUAACUUGUAGGUGAGGUAACGGAGCACAUAGGCGACGAUCCCGAGCUGGUAUGAGAGGAUGACCGGCCACACUGGAACUGAGACACGGUCCAUACUCCUACGGGAGUCAGCAGUGGGGAAUAUUGCACAAUUGGCGCAAGCCUGAUGCAGCCAUGCCGCGUGUAUGAAGAAGGCCUUCGGGUUGUAAAGUACUUUCAGCCGGUAGGCGUUACCCGCAGAAGAAGCACCGGCUAACGCCGUGCCAGCAGCCGCGGUAAUUC